CCCGCUGAACUUAAGCAUAUCAAUAAGCGGAGGAAAAGAAACUAACAAGGAUUCCCCUAGUAACGGCGAGUGAGGAGGGAAAAGCUCAAAUUUUGAACCUGGCGUCUUUGGCGUCCGAGUUGUAAUCUAGAGAAGUGUUUUCCGUGGCGGACCGUGCACAAGUCUCCUGGAAUGGGGCGUCAUAGAGGGUGAGAAUCCCGUAUAUGGCAUGGACUACCGUUACUCUGCGAUACACUCUCAUCGAGUCGAGUUGUUUGGGAAUGCAGCUCUAAAUGGGUGGUAAAUGCCAUCUAAAGCUAAAUAUUGGCGAGAGACCGAUAGCGAACAAGUACCGUGAGGGAAAGAUGAAAAGCACUUUGGAAAGAGAGUGAAAGAGUACGUGAAAUUGUUGAAAGGGAAACGCUUGAAGUCAGGCGCACCCUUGGGGAUUCAGCCUUGCUUCUGCUUGGUUUACUUUGCCUUGGGUGGGUCAACGUCAGUGUUGGUCAGAGGAAAAAGACUUGGGGAAGGUAGCAGCAUUUAUGCUGUGUUAUAGCCUCCUGUUGUAUACUUUGACUGGAACUGAGGACCGCAGCGCGCCUUUACGGCCGGGGCUUGCCCACGUACGCGCUUAGGAUGUUGGCAAAAUGGCUUUAAGCGACCCGUCUUGAAACACGG
rnacentral:rRNA from 1 species